UUUUAUGGAGAGUUUGAUCCUGGCUCAGGAUGAACGCUGGCGGCGUGCCUAAUACAUGCAAGUCGAGCGAACAGAUGAGGAGCUUGCUCCUUUGACGUUAGCGGCGGACGGGUGAGUAACACGUAGGUAACCUACCUAUAAGACUGGGAUAACUUCGGGAAACCGGAGCUAAUACCGGAUAAUAUUUCGAACUGCAUGGUUCGAUAGUGAAAGAUGGCUUUGCUAUCACUUAUAGAUGGACCUGCGCCGUAUUAGCUAGUUGGUAAGGUAACGGCUUACCAAGGCAACGAUACGUAGCCGACCUGAGAGGGUGAUCGGCCACACUGGAACUGAGACACGGUCCAGACUCCUACGGGAGGCAGCAGUAGGGAAUCUUCCGCAAUGGGCGCAAGCCUGACGGAGCAACGC
rnacentral:rRNA from 1 species